GGUACUCCCAGGGAUGGCUGUGCUCGUGGCAACCCACGAGGGUGCUCGCGCGAACUGAAGGGAGUUUUCGCGCGAACGAGACGGACUGCAGACAAAAGGAACAGACAGAGAUUGAGAGAAAGAGCGGGAAAGAGAAGAGAGAGAAAGAGAGAGAGAGAGAGAGAGAGGGAUGAAUAAGAGGAGGGAAAUGGGAAUGAUCGACAUUAUCGAUGCACAACGGCGAGAUGACGACGAUCUGCCACGCUUGCGCCUUCUCUCAUCGAAAAAUAUCUACCCGGAUCUUUCCUUUCUUUUGUUCGACACACUACGGACACACUCUUCGUCGUGCGGUCUCUCUCACGAGACCCCUGGGAGUCUGCGUGGGAGACGAACUCGAUGGGGACCGAUCGUUUUUUUCAACAGAUAACGCGACGAUUGAAGAACAGGUUAUUUGACGACGAGAAAACGCGGAUGAGAGAGAGAAGAAUACGCGGAGGAUGAGCGGCGAGAAUGAUCGAACUCGAGAUGUUUAUUUAAUGAUAAAGAAGAAAAAUACACGCGCGAAGGGAUAUCAAGAAUAAAUUGUAUGAAAAACCCGUUCAAAAUAGUGCGAGUAACAAAAGAGAAGAUACACUUGCUUUAAACAAAUGGAUUACACGAAUGGAAUAAAACAAUUGUCUAUAAAUGUUGAGUAGUAUUUUGUAUGUAAAAACAUGAAUAAAAGUUGUUUCGAUACUAGUUGUAUUACAGUUAGGAAUGACUUAUGUAUCAAUACUCGUUCGUAUUGUAAAGAAAAUGGUGAUUUCAAACUUGUCUUUUUGUUUACAUCAUAUAUUUGUGAUAAAAAUGGGUCGUCGUACUGCUCGAAAAUUAACGAAGUUUCUUA